GCAAAGUUCAUAAGUACAAAUAUAAUAUCUAUAUAUGACAACCUCACACCAUCACAAGUACCGAGGAAAAACAAUCCAACACGGGGAUCGUUUGACUAGCCGAAGGGGUUUCAACUUUCUACCCCGCGUCUAAGGAUGAGCUAUCCAACCGGGGGACUACUACUCUACAGCACACAUGUAGGAAAAUCCAACGCCACGUAUAGCCAAGCCAAACCAUGUCCUACGCGUGCAGGCUGCUUGUCAAGGCUUACAGCACACCAUACCAAAGGUGUUCGGAUCUUUACUACAUGCCAGAAAAUUCAACGCCACAUGUGAUAAAGUACUGACAACAAAAUGAGCCCACAUGCUGGAAAAUCCAAUGCCCUGUGUGGGUAAAGUAACUAGGGGAUGGUACAUAUCAUGGUGGGAAUACGAAACUCACAUAACAAACAACAAGGUACUGAACUCUCAUAAACCACUUCUCAAAAGCAUAUAAACCAUACUCAAAAUAAUCUUAAACUUCAAAUAUAAAAAAUAACCGCUAAUUCCAUAAUUAAAACAAUAUAUAAACUCCAUAGUCAAAAUAAUCCAAUUUAUAUGCAUGGUAAUCUAAUCUUUGAAAAU
rnacentral:lncRNA from 1 species